UACAGAGGGUGCAAGCGUUGUUCGGAAUUACUGGGCGUAAAGCGCGUGUAGGUGGCGAUGUAAGUCGGGUGUGAAAUCCCUCGGCUCAACCGAGGAAGUGCACUCGAUACUGUGUCGCUUGAGUGUUGGAGGGGAUGGCGGAAUUCCCGGUGUAGAGGUGAAAUUCGUAGAUAUCGGGAGGAACACCUGUGGCGAAGGCGGCCAUCUGGACAACUACUGACACUGAGACGCGAAAGCGUGGGUAGCAAACGGG
rnacentral:rRNA from 1 species